rnacentral:lncRNA from 1 species
UGGAGUUAUAAGAAAUUUAUUUAGAGAGAGUUAUUUGAGAUUUAUUUGGGGUUAUGAAUGGUGUAAUGACUAAUUCAAUUAGGGAGGUUAAAAGACCAUCUAAAGUCCCUAUAAAUAUCCAUGUACUCUAAUUGUGUUUGGAUGUGAGUUAAAUGAAAAUUAUUUUUCUUCCAAACUUUCUUCUUGAGUGUUCUUCCUCAUAUUUUUUUAUCUAACA